UACGUAGGAUGCAAGCGUUGUCCGGAAUUAUUGGGCGUAAAGAGCGCGCAGGCGGUAUGACAAGUCAGAUGUGAAAGAGGCCGGCUUAACCGGCAAGGGUCAUUUGAAACUGUCAGACUAGAGUGCAGCAGAGGAUAGUGGAAUUCCCGGUGUAGUGGUGAAAUGCGUAGAUAUCGGGAGGAACACCAGUGGCGAAGGCGACUAUCUGGGCUGCAACUGACGCUGAGGCGCGAAGGCCUAGGGUAGCAAACAGG
rnacentral:rRNA from 1 species